CCUACGGGUGGCAGCAGUGAGGAAUAUUGGUCAAUGGACGAGAGUCUGAACCAGCCAAGUAGCGUGAAGGAUGACUGCCCUAUGGGUUGUAACCUUCUUUUAUAUGGGAAUAAAAUUUUCCACGUGGGGGAUUUUGUAUGUACUAUCUGAAUAAGGAUCGGCUAACUCCGUGCCAGCAGCCGCGGUAAUACGGAGGAUCCGAGCGUUAUCCGGAUUUAUUGGGUUUAAAGGGAGCGUAGGUGGAUUGUUAAGUCAGUUGUGAAAGUUUGCGGCUCAACCGUAAAAUUGCAGUUGAUACUGGCAGUCUUGAGUACAGUAGAGGUAGGCGGAAUUCGUGGUGUAGCGGUGAAAUGCUUAGAUAUCACGAAGAACUCCGAUUGCGAAGGCAGUUCACUGGACUGCAACUGACACUGAGGCUCGAAAGUGUGGGUAUCAAACAGGAUUAGAUACUCCUGUAGUC
rnacentral:rRNA from 1 species